UUUUCAUUGUGAAAUAUCCCUGCACUCCAUUGAUAAGUGCUAUUUGUUCUAUUUUCACAUGUUAUAUUAUAUACACAAUAAUAAAAUAUUAGAUUAUCCAGUGUCCCUUUUCUAAUAGCAUUUGGGUUCCUGGACUUUAUGAAACCAUUGCUACUGUCUCAUGGAACCACUCCUUGGGCAUAAUCACUUGGUUUUAAGCCCUAACAUGGCUUGCACCACAACUGUGUAGUGCAUUAUUGUAUCUGAAAUGCUUAACACAGCUCUAGUCACAUAAUAGUUGCUUAAUGAAUACCUGUCUAGAAAAAUGAACUGACACACUAAUGAUGGUUUUGUUUCUUGUCCUUUUUUUCUUGUUCUCUUGCCAUAAUACAUCUUUCUUUGCCUUUUCAGAUGGAUGUUAUAUUUGGUAGAAAAGAAAAAAAGAAGAGGAGGAUAAAAACAUAUUACAGACAAGCAAUGAGAACCCAGUUGAGGGGUGGCGAUAAACAGGGUCUUCCUAAAAAAUAUAUGGAACAUUUUAAGCAUGCUUUUGAGAUUUAUUGAUGGUGCAUUUACCUUGAAUUCCUUUUUGGUGGUAUGCUACCAGAAGCUGCAGUUACGGUCCUAUGGCUCUAUGGCAAUCUGUGGGUAGGCCAUAGCUCUUUUCUGUGAGUUAGUUCAAUUUAGGCAUCAAGUUGAAAUCUUAUUCUUAUGCAGAUAUGUAUAUCCUUUUAACAGAGCGAGGGAGAGACUUGUGACACUAUUGAAAACUUCUGCUUG
rnacentral:lncRNA from 13 species